CUACGGGUGGCUGCAGUGGGGAAUAUUGCACAAUGGGGGAAACCCUGAUGCAGCCAUGCCGCGUGUGUGAAGAAGGCCUUCGGGUUGUAAAGCACUUUCAGUUGUGAGGAAAGGGUGUACGUUAAUACCGUGCAUCUGUGACGUUAGCAACAGAAGAAGCACCGGCUAACUCCGUGCCAGCAGCCGCGGUAAUACGGAGGGUGCGAGCGUUAAUCGGAAUUACUGGGCGUAAAGCGUGCGUAGGCGGUUGAUUAAGCGAGAUGUGAAAUCCCGGGGCUUAACCUCGGCACUGCAUUUCGAACUGGUCGACUAGAGUCUUGUAGAGGGUGGUGGAAUUUCCAGUGUAGCGGUGAAAUGCGUAGAGAUUGGAAGGAACAUCAGUGGCGAAGGCGGCCACCUGGACAAAGACUGACGCUGAGGCACGAAAGCGUGGGUAGCAAACAGGAUUAGAUACCCGUGUAGUC
rnacentral:rRNA from 1 species